AGUUGUGUCCCUGAUUCUCCUUUU
rnacentral:miRNA from 1 species